rnacentral:rRNA from 1 species
GUGCACCAGUCGCGAAUUUUUCUCAAUGGGGGCAACCCUGAAGGAGCGACGCCGCGUGGAGGAUGAAGGUCUUCGGGUUUGUAAACUCCUGUCAUUUGAGAACAAGGUGCACAUGUUAACUGCAUGUGCAUUGAUAGUAUCAGAAGAGGAAGGGACGGCUAAACUCUGUGCCAGCAGCCGCGGUAAUACAGAGGUCCCAAGCGUUGUUCGGAUUCAUUGGGCGUAAAGGGUGUGUAGGUGGCGCCGUUAAGUCGGGUGUGAAAUCUCGGGGCUUAACUCCGAAACUGCAUUCGAUACUGCGGUGCUUGAGGACUGGAGAGGAGACUGGAAUUCAUGGUGUAGCAGUGAAAUGCGUAGAGAUCAUGAGGAAGACCAGUGGCGAAGGCGGGUCUCUGGACAGUUCCUGACACUGAGACACGAAGGCCAGGGGAGCAAACGGGAUUAGAUACCCCUGUACG